rnacentral:rRNA from 1 species
UACGAAGGGGGCUAGCGUUGCUCGGAAUCACUGGGCGUAAAGCGCACGUAGGCGGAUUGUUAAGUCAGGGGUGAAAUCCUGGAGCUCAACUCCAGAACUGCCUUUGAUACUGGCGAUCUUGAGUCCGGGAGAGGUGAGUGGAACUGCGAGUGUAGAGGUGAAAUUCGUAGAUAUCGGGAGGGACACCGGUGGCGAAGGCGGCGACCUGGGUAGAUACUGACGCUGAGGCGCGAAAGCGUGGGGAGCAAACAGG